AAAGAUGCGCUAAUACCGCAUAAUCUCUAAGGAGAAAAGCAGGGGAUCGCAAGACCUUGCGCUUUUGGAGCGGCCGAUGUCUGAUUAGCUAGUUGGUGAGGUAAAGGCUUACCAAGGCUUCGAUCAGUAGCUGGUCUGAGAGGACGACCAGCCACACUGGGACUGAGACACGGCCCAGACUCCUACGGGAGGCAGCAGUGGGGAAUUUUGGACAAUGGGGGCAACCCUGAUCCAGCCAUGCCGCGUGAGUGAAGAAGGCCUUCGGGUUGUAAAGCUCUUUCAGCCGGAACGAAAAGGUUACGGUUAAUACCCGUGACUAAUGACGGUACCGGAAGAAGAAGCACCGGCUAACUACGUGCCAGCAGCCGCGGUAAUACGUAGGGUGCGAGCGUUAAUCGGAAUUACUGGGCGUAAAGCGUGCGCAGGCGGUUUUGUAAGUCAGAUGUGAAAUCCCCGGGCUUAACCUGGGAACUGCGUUUGAAACUACAAGGCUAGAGUGUGGCAGAGGGGGGUGGAAUUCCACGUGUAGCAGUGAAAUGCGUAGAGAUGUGGAGGAACACCGAUGGCGAAGGCAGCCCCCUGGGUUAACACUGGCGCUCAGGCACGAAAGCGUGGGGAGCAAACAGGAUUAGAUACCCUGGUAGUCCACGCCCUGAACGAUGUCAACUAGUUGUCGGGUCUUAACGGGCUUGGUAACGCAGCUAACGCGUGAAGUUGACCGCCUGGAGAGUACGGUCGCAAGAUUAAAACUCAAAGGAAUUGACGGGGACCCGCACAAGCGGUGGAUUAUGUGGAUUAAUUCGAUGCAACGCGAAAAACCUUACCUACCCUUGACAUGUACCGAAGCCCGCCGAGAGGUGGGCGUGCU
rnacentral:rRNA from 1 species